GCCCCUGUAGCUCAACAGGACAGAGCGUCGGCCUCCUAAGCCGAAUGUCCAGGUUCGAGUCCUGGCAGGGGUACAA
rnacentral:tRNA from 2 species